AGACGUCUACGAGUUUGAUCCUGGCUUAGACUGAACGCUGGCGGCAUGGUUAAAGCAUGCAAGUCGAACGCGAACCACCUUCGGGUGGGGAAAGUGGCGAAAGGGCGAGGAAUACGAUCGAAUGUGCCCCGAGGUGGGGGAUAGCGUCGAGAAAUCGGCGGUAAUACCCCAUGUGCUCUACGGAGGAAAGGUUUACCGCCUUGGGAGCAGCGAUCGUCCUAUCAGGUAGUUGGUGGGGUAAUGGCCUACCAAGCCGAAGACGGGUAGCGGGUGUGAGAGCAUGACCCGCCGCAUCGGAACUGAGACACUGUCCGGACUCCUACGGGAGGCUGCAGCGACGAAUAUUCCGCAAUGGGCGAAAGCCUGACGGAGCAAUGCCGCGUGUGGGAUGAAGCGCCUUCGGCGUGUAAACCACUGUCAGGUCCUAGGAACACUGACCAGGACCAGAGGAAGGGCCGGCUAACCUCGUG
rnacentral:rRNA from 1 species